rnacentral:lncRNA from 1 species
GGCUGCUGAGGGAGCUGGGGAGCUUCAGCCUUCAUCCCCCAGCCCCGAGAUGGGAGCCAGGGCUGGGCAGCACCUUGGCCUGUGCACCUCAGCCCCUGUUCUUCUUGCAGGUGCCUGCAGAGGGAGAUGCCCAAGGCAGCAGCACGUUGACAGCCCACAGACGGAAGACACCAACUAUGGUGACAUCCAGUACUCCACCAUCGCCCAUGUUCGACGGGACAGGGUGAGUCGUGGCACAGCUGUGCACAGCUCCUUUCUGCACUCCUGCAACCUGAUGCCUGCUCAUUGUGCAGGGCUCACAGUCAGCAGCUGAAGUAACAGGGUUUCAUUUCCCCCUAAAGCCUCCUCCCAUGCAGCACAUGAGAAACACCACGACAUAUGCCACAGUGACCCGCACCCAGAUCCGAUAGCGCUGCCACAGUGCAAGGGCACAGGAGCCUUGCCCAUGGCUACCUUUGCUCUGUCCAAGAGGGCUUGUGCAGCCAUAACAUGGGGCUGGGGGUGCACUUUGGUCUUCUUUGUUUGUUUGUUUUUUUGUCACAGGGAAGGGCUGUGAGUGUCUAGCCAAGACGAUAUAGGACUCAUACCUCCAUCUACAAGACAUAAAUACUUCUAAAAUACAUGACCUAUACCAAAUCUUACUGUGAAUGUAUUGAUUUUUUUUGAAUAAAAGAAAACAUCUUGCUAUGCUCA